rnacentral:sRNA from 1 species
GUAGAGCCUAGCAACAGCGCAGGCUCCCAGCCGAGUCCGUUAUGGCCGCUGCCGCCCUGAAGAGGAUGAGGGGGCCAGCACAAGCGAAACUGCUGCCCGGGUCGGCCAUCCAAGCCCUUGUGGGGUUGGCGCGGCCGCUGGUCUUGGCGCUCCUGCUUGUGUCCGCCGCUCUAUCCAGUGGCCAAGACACAAUCCUGCGUUUCUCCCUAAAUUUGAAUUUUCAGCUGCAAAACAGUGUGACCUGUUGUAUCACGGACUGAUUCACCGAGCCCAACCGUACUCAACUCACAUAUUUCUACCCCAAAUGUGAAUGCUUUAACACAUGAAAACCAAACCAAACCUUCUAUUUCCCAAAUCAGCACCACCCUCCCUCCCACGAUGAGUACCGAGAAAAGUGGAGGAGCAUCUGUGGCCCCUCAUCCCUCGCCUACUCCUCUGUCUCAAGAGGAAGCUGAUAACAAUGAAGAUCCUAGUAUAGAGGAGGAGG